GGUUAAGCGACUAAGCGUACACGGUGGAUGCCCUGGCAGUCAGAGGCGAUGAAGGACGUGCUAAUCUGCGAAAAGCGCCGGCGAGGUGAUAUGAACCUUUGACCCGGCGAUGUCCGAAUGGGGAAACCCAGUGUGAUUCGUCACACUAUCGUUAACUGAAUACAUAGGUUAACGAGGCGAACCGGGGGAACUGAAACAUCUAAGUACCCCGAGGAAAAGAAAUCAACCGAGAUUCCCCCAGUAGCGGCGAGCGAACGGGGAGCAGCCCAGAGUCUGAAUCAGCUUGUGUGUUAGUGGAAGCGUCUGGAAAGUCGCACGGUACAGGGUGACAGUCCCGUACACGAAAAUGCACAGGUUGUGAACUCGAAGAGUAGGGCGGGACACGUGGUAUCCUGUCUGAAUAUGGGGGGACCAUCCUCCAAGGCUAAAUACUCCUGACUGACCGAUAGUGAACCAGUACCGUGAGGGAAAGGCGAAAAGAACCCCGGCGAGGGGAGUGAAA
rnacentral:rRNA from 1 species